AACAUGGUCUUGUUUGCUCCCAUCAUCUAUGUCUUGCAGUACCUGGAGAAGGCAGGGCUGCUGACGGAGGAGAUAAGGUCUCGGGCAGUGGGUUUCCUGGAAAUAGGGUACCAGAAGGAGCUGAUGUACAAACACAGCAAUGGCUCAUACAGUGCCUUUGGGGAGCGAGAUGGAAAUGGAAACACAUGGUAAUAUCACCCAAUUCCCAAUGAGUUCUGUACUCCAGAGCAUAAUUCCUGAGCCCUCUGGAACUAUUCCACUACCUCUCCCCUUAACCCCUUUCCUUCUUGCACUCAGUCUUCUACCUCUUUAAUACUGUUUAUUUCACCCUCAUGGAUGGUCAAGUCCCUUGAUCUUCCUGAGCUUGUGCCUCCCUGUUCUUGUCCUCAUUGGUGCCCAUUAAUGCCUCUCUUUUCUAGGCCUGCUAUGGCAUAUGUUCCCUCAGCUCCCCUUCUGGAAGUAU
rnacentral:sRNA from 1 species